rnacentral:lncRNA from 1 species
AAACUUCUAACCUUGCAGAGCACCUUCACACAGCAACCAUCACAUGCUACCGCCAGCAAAGAUUUUUCUUUUGCCCCUCAUUAUCUUCCUUUUUUAAAAAAAAGAAAGGGCGCACUCCUCAAAUAAUCCGGGUCAUCUAAAUCUUAAAAGGAUUAAAAAUGUAAUUUUUCUGCCGCACAGUGGAACCGUAAAUCUUCAAAAAACAAAAAAGAACAUAAGAGAGAAUUUUUUUUACCAUAAAGUGGAACCACACCGUGCCAUGAUUCAUUGAUUCAGUUCAGGACCUUUCAGUUCAAUGGCAUGAAAACAUUGUGAUCAAAACCAAAAACUAACCUUAUAUUGGUCCCGGCGGCCGGACGGCGAAAAUUCAGGCCAAAGCUCAGCGCCGCGUUCCUGGAACCCAGCCCUUGGUUUAUCAACAGCGACGACGCCAUCCCCUCCCUCUCUCUUUCCCUUCUCGUCAAGUCGAAGACCGGAGCAAAAACCAAAAAAAAAAAAAAA